CGGGCCCGCGCGGCUCCACCUGGGCAUUGACCACGUGAUGGCCCGCGUGUUCCAUGACAUCUGGAACGACUAGGGGAUCGGGGUGGCACUGUGCAUCUGCUCCCAGAAUAAAAAUCAGCAGUCAGCCCCGACAUUGACAAAGAGUGUUUUAGCCAAAUGAAAGGCAGUAGCUUUUCAAAAAGUUGAAUGUGAGCUUCUGUGCAAAUCACGGGAGAUGGGAGAGUCUCAAACCAUAAGUCAUCUAAGAAGGUGUGAGACAGAAUCGCAGAUGAAAGUCUCCAAAGCAGCCGGACAGCCAGGUGUGGGGAUUGGGGGUUAUCCUCCACCCCAACAGAAGGGUGUCCCGCAAGGCAGCCACCUCCCAGCAGACACCCCUUAAAGCACAGUAGGACAAAUCUGGAAGGGGUUAUUUGGUUCAUAAAAUUCCACAAUGCAUUUCACAUUCUUAUAAUUCGCCAAAAGGACAACCAUAUAAAACAAAUCCCUGUCACAGCAAAAA